AUGUGGCUCUGUGGCGCAAUGGAUAGCG
rnacentral:piRNA from 2 species